rnacentral:rRNA from 1 species
UGAGGAAUAUUGGGCAAUGCCCGCAAGGGUGACCCAGCAACGCCGCGUGGAGGAUGAAUGUCGUAAGAUUGUAAACUCCUGUUAGAGGGGAAGAAUAGUACCGGUUGGACCGGUAUAUGACUGUACCCUCAGAGAAAGCCCCGGCUAACUACGUGCCAGCAGCCGCGGUAAUACGUAGGGGGCAAGCGUUGUCCGGAUUUACUGGUGUAAAGGGCGCGCAGGCGGGAUAAAAAGUCAGUGGUGAAAUCCUACAGCUUAACUGUAGAACUGCCUUUGAUACUUUUAUUCUUGAGUUCGGGAGAGAGAGACGGAAUUCCAGGUGUAGUGGUGAAAUACGUAGAUAUGUCAUAGAACACCGAUUGCGAAGGCAGCUAACGAAACUAUAACUGACGCUGAGGCACGAAAGUGCGGGGAUCAAACA